rnacentral:rRNA from 1 species
UCGAGCGAGAAAGUUCCCUUCGGGGAAUGAGUCCAGCGGCAAACGGGAUGAGUAACACGUGGGAAACUUGCCCUUCGGUGGGGGAUAAGCUCUCGAAAGGGGGUCUAAUACCGCAUAACAUCGGAAGAUCGCAUGGUCUACCGAUCAAAGCAGCAAUGCACCGGAGGAUAGUCCCGCGCCUGAUUAGCUUGUUGGUAGGGUAAAAGCCUACCAAGGCAACGAUCAGUAGCCGGCCUGAGAGGGUGAUCGGCCACACUGGGACUGAGAUACGGCCCAGACUCCUACGGGAGGCAGCAGUAGGGAAUAUUGCGCAAUGGUCUAACGGCUGACGUAGCAACGCCGCGUGGAUGAUGAAGCUUUUCGGAGUGUAAAAUCCUUUCAGCAGGGAAGAAUAUCUUGACGGUACCUGCAUAAGAAGUCCCGGCCAACUCCGUGCCAGCAGCCGCGGUAACACGGGGGGGACAAGCGUUGUUCGGAUUCACUGGGCGUAAAGCGCUCGUAGGUGGGCUGGAUAGUCGGAUGUGAAAACCUGAGGCUUAACUUCAGGCCUGCAUCCGAAACUGCCAGUCUUGAGUACUGGAGAGGGUGGCGGAAUUCCUGGUGUAGCGGUGAAAUGCGUAGAUAUCAGGAGGAACACCGAUGGCGAAGGCAGCCACCUGGACAGAUACUGACACUGAGGGGCGAAGGCUAGGGUAGCAAACAGGAUUAGAUACCCUGGUAGUCCUAGCUGUAAACGAUGGAUGCUGGGUGUGGGGGGUGUAAAUUCCCUCUGUGCCGAAGCAAACGCGUUAAGCAUCCCGCCUGGGGACUACGGCCGCAAGGCUAAAACUCAAACGAAUUGACGGGGGCCCGCACAAGCAGCGGAGCGUGUGGUUUAAUUCGAUGCUACACGAAGAACCUUACCUGGGUUUGACAUGCACGUGGUAGGGAACCGAAAGGGGACCGACCUUCGGGAGCGUGCACAGGUGCUGCAUGGCUGUCGUCAGCUCGUGCCGUGAGGUGUCGGGUUAAGUCCCGUAACGAGCGCAACCCUUGCCCUUAGUUACAAGUGUCUAAGGGGACUGCCCGGGACAACUGGGAGGAAGGUGGGGAUGACGUCAAGUCAGCAUGGCCUUUAUAUCCAGGGCUACACACACGCUACAAUGGCCAGUACAAUAGGUAGCCAAGUCGUGAGACGGAGCCAAUCCUUAAAGCUGGUCUCAGUUCGAAUUGCAGUCUGCAACUCGACUGCAUGAAGCUGGAGUUGCUAGUAAUCGCAGGUCAGCCAUACUGCGGUGAAUACGUUCCCGGGCC